AUCCUGCCAGUAGUCAUAUGCUUGUCUCAAAGAUUAAGCCA
rnacentral:rRNA from 8 species